GACAGGGGAUGCGAGUGUUAUUCGGAAUUAUUGGGCGUAAAGUGUUUGUAGGUGGAAUUCGAAGUCUUUUGUAAAAUCUCUAAGCUUAACUUAGAAAUCGCAAAAGAUACUGGUUUUCUAGAGUAUGGUAGAGGUAAAGGGAAUUUCCAGUGGAGCGGUGAAAUGCGUAGAGAUUGGAAGGAACACCAACAGCGAAGGCACUUUACUGGGCCAUUACUGACACUGAGAGACGAAAGCUAAGGGAGCAAACGGG
rnacentral:rRNA from 1 species